rnacentral:rRNA from 1 species
UAGGGAAUAUUGGUAAUCUGCGAAAGCGGGAACCAGCAACGCCGCGUGUGCGAAGAAGGCCUUCGGGUUGUAAAGCACUUUUCGGGAGGAAGAGGAAGGACUGUACUCCCGGAAUAAGUCUCGGCUAACUACGUGCCAGCAGCCGCGGUAAUACGUAGGAGGCUAACGUUAUUCGGAUUUACUGGGCGUAAAGCGCGUGCAGGCGGUUCGGUAAGUUGGACGUGAAAGCUCCCGGCUCAACUGGGAGAGGUCGUUCAAUACUGCCGGGCUAGAGGAUGGUAGAGGGAGGUGGAAUUCCGGGUGUAGUGGUGAAAUGCGCAGAUAUCCGGAGGAACACCAGUGGCGAAGGCGACCUCCUGGGCCAUUCCUGACGCUCAGACGCGAAAGCUAGGGUAGCGAA